AGGACGAACGCUGGCGGCGUGCCUAACACAUGCAAGUCGAACGGGACCAGGGGCAACUCUGGUUCAGUGGCGGACGGGUGCGUAACACGUGAGGAACAUGACCUUCGGCGGGGGAUAGCCGGCCCAACGGCCGGGUAAUACCGCGUACGACCAUCCGGGGACAUCCCUGGGUGGUGAAAGCAGUCAAUGCGCCGAUGGAGUGCCUCGCGGCCUAUCAGCUAGUUGGUGAGGUAACGGCUCGACCGAAGGCGACGACGGGUACGCCGGUCUGAGAGGAGUCGGCCAGCCACGAGUU
rnacentral:rRNA from 1 species